AGUUCCUAGGGAUGCACUGGUGAGCAAACAGAUGUGAUCCCUGCCUUCCUGGAGAUUUCAUUCAUCCUAGUGAUGGAGUUCAACUCUGAACAGAUGGAGGCGGGCCCUGGUGCCAAGCACGGUACAUUGCAGGAGAAUUCGCUUGUGAGGCCCUUUGAUGUCACAUGCAUCCCAGGAACACCCAGCUAAAACAGAGAGCUGCUUCGUGUUUAUGCCUCUAAACAGAACCAUUUGAGUACACAGACCAAAAGACCUGAUCUGGGAGCACUGCGUUUUCUCCAAUAGAGUGAUUCAUUACUAAUGUCUUCAUUUUGGACACCGCAGUUGAAUGUGAAGCCAUAUGCUUUAAAUUAAAAGCACACUAAGCAAAUCACAAGUUUCUCAAGAUGGUGCUUAAAGUCUGUUUUGGCAUCUGCUGGUUGCCAAAAGACCCAUAUGAUCCUGUAAUUAAACAACAAAUAUUUUCUGCAAAAUCAA